CGGGUGGUAAUGCCGGAUGUUCCACAUGAUCGCAUGUGAUUGUGGGAAAGAUUUCAUCGGCGUGGGAUGGGGUCGCGUCCUAUCAGCUUGUUGGUGAGGUAACGGCUCACCAAGGCUUCGACGGGUAGCCGGCCUGAGAGGGCGACCGGCCACAUUGGGACUGAGAUACGGCCCAGACUCCUACGGGAGGCAGCAGUGGGGAAUAUUGCACAAUGGGCGCAAGCCUGAUGCAGCGACGCCGCGUGAGGGAUGGAGGCCUUCGGGUUGUAAACCUCUUUUGUUUGGGAGCAAGCCUUCGGGUGAGUGUACCUUUCGAAUAAGCGCCGGCUAACUACGUGCCAGCAGCCGCGGUAAUACGUAGGGCGCAAGCGUUAUCCGGAUUUAUUGGGCGUAAAGGGCUCGUAGGCGGCUCGUCGCGUCCGGUGUGAAAGUCCAUCGCUUAACGGUGGAUCUGCGCCGGGUACGGGCGGGCUGGAGUGCGGUAGGGGAGACUGGAAUUCCCGGUGUAACGGUGGAAUGUGUAGAUAUCGGAAAAGAAACACC
rnacentral:rRNA from 1 species